rnacentral:tRNA from 1 species
GCCUGGGUGGCUCAGUUGGUUGAGCGUCCAACUUCAGCUUGAGUCACGGUCUCGCAGUUCGUGAGUUCGAGCCCCACGUCAGGCU